GAUUCAGUAGCUCAGCUGGAUAGAGCAACGGCCUUCUAAGCCGUGGGUCGGGGGUUCGAAUCCCUUCUGGAUCA
rfam:Oribacterium sinus F0268 genomic scaffold SCAFFOLD1, whole genome shotgun sequence.